rnacentral:rRNA from 1 species
UAGCGUUGUUCGGAAUUACUGGGCGUAAAGCGCACGUAGGCGGACUUUUAAGUCAGAUGUGAAAUCCCAAGGCUCAACCUUGGAACUGCAUUUGAAACUGGGAGUCUAGAGAUCAGGAGAGGUUAGUGGAAUUCCGAGUGUAGAGGUGAAAUUCGUAGAUAUUCGGUGGAACACCAGUGGCGAAGGCGACUAACUGGACUGAUACUGACGCUGAGGUGCGAAAGUGUGGGGAGCAAACAGGAUUAGAUACCCUGGUAGUCCACACCGUAAACGCUGUCUACUAGCUGUGUGUGCCUUUAAGGCGUGCGUAGCGAAGCUAACGCGCUAAGUAGACCGCCUGGGGAGUACGGCCGCAAGGUUAAAACUCAAAUGAAUUGACGGGGGCCCGCACAAGCGGUGGAGCAUGUGGUUUAAUUCGAUGCAACGCGAAGAACCUUACCUACACUUGACAUGUUGAGAAGUUACCAGAGAUGGUUUCGUGCCUUCGGGAACUCAAACACAGGUGCUGCAUGGCUGUCGUCAGCUCGUGUCGUGAGAUGUUCGGUUAAGUCCGGCAACGAGCGCAACCCACAUCCUUAGUUGCCAGC